rnacentral:tRNA from 1 species
GCGGUUAUAGCUCAGUUGGUUAGAGCGCCACACUGAUAAUGUGGAGGUCCCUAGUUCAAGUCUAGGUAACCGCA